rnacentral:tRNA from 1 species
GAGGGUAUAGCUUGAUGGUAGAGUGCAUGCUUAGCAUGCAUGAGGCCCUGGGUUCAAUCCCUAGUACCUCUG